AAUUCUACUUAUAAUAGAAUAAAUAUAGUUCAUGAUGUCAACAAAAAAAUUGAUACAAAUAACCAAAGCAAUCUUAAACUAAAAAGAUGCUCUAUUCAAGAGAACACCAGCCAAGAAAAUACUUACUCUGAUGAUGAGGCCGCGAUGCAGGG